rnacentral:lncRNA from 1 species
AGAUAUUUUUGGUGAGAUCUAGUAUAGAUUGCAGUAUCCUUUGUGAUGAUUUUGCUCUCUAAUUGAGUUGUUGGUCUAGAUUACAUUGGUGUAAUCGAUUUGAGAGAAAACAAGUGUGUUUUCUGGGUUUGAGGGCUAAAUCUUUAGAUCUUGUGUUGUAAUUCUUAAACACUUGAUAUUAUUGUUGCUAGUAUAUUUGUGGUGUAUGCAAAAUGUUCCAUUAUAGAGAGAAGAGAGCUUUGGGAGUGGCUAAUAGGUGGAGAUUUGAAAGUAAUAUUAUCAAGAUAAGAGAGAGAAUGUGGUAAUCAACCUUUAAUCAGAUUAAUGGAGGAUUUUUCAGCUAUGUUAAUGGACACUGGAGUGGAUGAAUUUCCUAUUGAUGGCAGUAAAUUCACAUGGUCCAGUGGUAGAAUACGUUGAAAUGCUUGACAAAAUUUUUGUUAAAUCAGACCGGAUGGAUGCGUUUAAGAACUUUCAAGCUCAGGUCGUUAAUAGGGAC